CACAUCUGUUCGAAUUUUCGUCCCCUGGAGAGUUGCCCUCGUUCACUAUUCAGCCUCAGAGGGAAUAAGGGGUGGUGAUGAUGGGUCUCUGUGAAGUCAUUACCCCUCUCCAUUCUUUAUCUCUCACUUCCUCCCUCUUCAAUUCCCUUUUUGCUCUUCUUUCUCUAUUGCUCGCUCAGAAAAUCCAGGACUCCCAAGAGAGACGGUCCUCAAUUCAUCUGUUCAAAUAUUCCUCCCCUAGAGACGUCCCCUAGAGAGGCGCCCUCGUUCAGUGGAAGUGAGGAAUGAUGAGGCGUGAUGGAGAGACGCUGACCUGCCUCACACAUUAAAUAAAAAUAGGAAUGAAAGACAAAAUAAUAUCCUGUGGUGAAGAAACACCAGGCUGUAGUCAAGACCGCCUUGGCCCAGGAGCAGCCCGAGACAAAUCCAAUAGCAGGACCAGCCGAGAUCAGGCGAAGACCGAGUCUUAAAGCAGUCGAGAUCAGGCGAAGACCGAGUCUUAAAGCAGUCGAGGCCGUCCGUUAAGUCCAAAUAAAAGCUAGCCUGAGGCUGAAACCCAGCAGACUUUCGGAUUUUGAUUGAAUCAUUAUAUGGGCCCUAUACAUACACAAUGACAUG
ensembl:lncRNA